CAAAGCUAUAAAGAAGCCCCCGAGGUAAGAAACUAGCAAAAACACCACCACCGGUCACGCCCGCGCUGUGCCGCGAGCUGCAAAGACAAGCGGCGUGGGGUUUGGAGGCGUCCACGCUUCUCGUCGGGGAGAAAGGAAGUCUUUGGAAUUUUGGAGAAAAAGAAAAGCGUCACUUAACGACCCUAGAGUUUUCGCAGCUGAAAUAAAUGAGUGGCCAACGCACUGUUCCUAACAAGGAUCUAGAAAGUUUCCAGCCAGACUGAAGGGCAACUGUGUCCGACUUAAAGGGACAAUGGUGACUCGUUUUGUGAGAUGCAUACGGCAAAGAAUAGAGCCAAAAUCCUUUGAAAAUAUUUCAAACGUUAAAGAAAUUGUUGCUUAUUUACAUCCUUCUAAAGUUUUUGGACUCCACUCUAUUAAAAUGUGUUCAUUUCUUAUGACCUUUAUUUGCAAGGAAAAUUGUAUCUAUGCUUUGAGUGUCAAAUUGCAAUAACGAAUUUCAGAAAGCAUUUUGUCAUUGGAAAUGUGUCUACAUAUAAUAAAGUAACCAAACGUCUGUGUUCCAAACAAAAGCAGAGAACUGUACUGAGAUUGUAUUGAGAUUUGAGAUUUUUAAUGGAUUGCAUCCAUUAAAAAGAUGCAGCAUUGUAUUCAUAAGAUACCAACUAAGUAAUUUAAAUAUUGAGAGGAAAACUGUUUU